AUUUGUCACGUGACAGGCGCAAAUGAACGAACCUGCAAGAUGCGGGACGGUUGAUUCUGCUCUGGCGUUUGGAGGUGCAAAAACACACAAAAUAACUGCCAACAUCAUGCCUAAAAUAGUUCUGUGUCCUCCUGUGAACACUGGUGACGGAUUGCUGCUUCAAACAGCUAACAUGGGACUAUAGGGAGAGCUGUUCAAGCGGGGUCCCACACACAGAGAGCCUGAGGCGUGGGAGGGGCAGAGGCGGCCUCAUCUCUCCCAGCAUAUGGCCGGCUAAACGCUCCUCUGACCUGAACUGACCUCGGAUUAGAACACACAGACUCAAACCUCCAGCCUCCAGC
rnacentral:lncRNA from 1 species